rnacentral:lncRNA from 10 species
UCAGUCUAUGUUCUUCACAGGCUAAGAGUGGCCAUUAAGAAAUGAAAGCAAGUUUAGAUUUCAACAGCAUGUUUGGAUUUGACAUUUUGCAUUUCAAGAAACCAAGGUCAGCUCAAUCCUUUUAGCACUGGGACCCAGAUACCACCAUGAUUUAAGUAAACAACAACCCUACUGAAUUUAAGGAAGCUGUGCAAUGAGUAAUAAUUGCCUAUGAAAACUGCCUGUGAAGAAUAUUGUCAGAAAUUCCAAACUGCUCCAGAGCGGUGGCAAGAAAGUCCAGAGAUUAUUAUUGGGUAAUGACAUUGGAAAUAAAAAAGUAUAUAGUAUUACAGUAUUGAGCUAUUAGAGUAAGGAAUCAAUUCAAGGAGACAAGCAAAAUUUAUAUACUUUAUUGAUUUUAAAUUUUACAUGCUCUGCUAUGUGAGUAAAUCUUUCGUAGUAAUUCUAAAGCUUUGAAACAUUGUAAAUAACAGGGACUGUAGGGAGUUCAGGACAGCUAUUUUUUCAUACUGAGAGUAUAUAGCCUUUAAUGCAUAUUAGAAGAAAUUGGAGUAAUGAAAUACCUUAAAGCUAACUUAAGUCAGGGUUGACAUGUUUUGUUUGGUUUUGUUUUUUGUCUCCAAAAAGAGAGCACGUAUCAGGUAGUGAAGUAAUUCCAGGUAGCAUUCUACUUAAGGAAAAGCAUAUUAAAUUGAUCUUACUGUAUUACAUAAAUCCAACAUAUCCUGUGUAAACUCAGAAACAGGUGGCUCUUUGUAAAAGGUGGCUGGAUGCAGCCGGGCGUGAUGGCUCACGCCUGUAAUCCUAGCACUUUG